AGUGCUUAAUCUCCGGCCUUGCGGCUUAGUUUUUCUCUCGGUUUGGGCUUGAGGCCUCUGUCCCAACCAUGCUCCGCCAGAUCAUCGGUCAGGCCAAGAAGCACCCUAGCUUGAUCCCCCUCUUCAUAUUUAUUGGAGCAGGAGGGACUGGAGCAGCACUGUAUGUCACACGCCUGGCAUUGUUCAAUCUCGAUGUCAGUUGGGACAGAAAGAAUAACCCAGAACCCUGGAACAAACUAGGUCCUAAUGAUCAGUACAAGUUCUACUCUGUGAACGUAGAUUACAGCAAACUGAAGAAAGAAGGUCCAGACUUCUAAAUGAAAUAUUUCACUUAAAGCUGCUCAGAAUGAAGGUCUUCCAGAAGCC